UGUAAUUCAAGAAAUCUUCUUCUACAUCUAGUCCAGAUAACAUUAAUUCUGAUUCUUCCUUAAUUUACACUAAGUUAAAGAAAAGAUGGCUUUGAAUUGAUAAAGAUGAUUUGUUCCUACUCUGCUGCACUUUAGUAAUCUCAACUAUAUUUCAACCUGCCAUGAUGGUACUGAAUAUAAGGCAUAUUUAGCACUAUGUGAACCUGAGUUAUCUUCUUGGAAUAUACUUUAUUAAAGAGACGAGUAUUUUUACUGAUAUCUUUCUUUUUAGCAGGCUGAACUCUCUGGUCUCAGUCACAAAAGAAUGUAAUAUUAAAGAUUUUAAUAAGGAUGAGAUAAUAUGACAUUGAGAUGUCCCUCAUUUAUUUGAUUUUGGUUUAGAUUAUUAACCCUGGUUCUGUUUCAAGGAAUGAUUAUAAAAUUAAAACAAAAGCCCACAAACUCUAUCCUUCAGAUUUAUUUCUCAGAUAUAUUAGUUUCUUCUUAUGGUUUCCAUUCCUGGUGUUUAAAUCUUAAAACCAUUGCACAUGAAUGCUGCCAUAAAACCUACAAAAUGUCCAGACAGGUGAGCAAAGCAAAUUGUAUUCAGGUUUUACAAGAACCUGUACCAGGGAUAAAAUCAGACAGAAGUUGUUUAUCUCAUAGGGAAAACAAAGGAGAAAAAGAGGAGAAGUUUCCAAGGUAUUGCAGAAGUUUAUGCCUCCAUUAAGACCAGCCAUCUCACCACUCACUGUGUUACAUUCGGGGAGCUUGAAGCAGCCUCCCCGCGGUUUCAUUUGUUCGCAAAACAUGCUAAUGACAGUUUCAUGAUUAGAGCUAGCGAAUAUGAAACGUGUGGAAUGAGAUUGGGAGUAGACUCGAGAGAGCAACUAAAUCUGCGGUGCGUAACCUUGCAUAGUCACAGCUCUCUCCUCCCCCUGUCAGUGUCUGCUGUCCUAUUAUUUUUUCACAGGGAGGAGGGAAAAGCAUCCUCGGGUCGCACCUGGGCUGCGGUUUUACCCGCUGGCGGCUGGACUGUCCCGCGGCGGGGGCGGGCGCCGAGCCCCCGCCGAGCCCGGGCGUCCGCGCUCUCCAAAACAGAGCCCCGGGCUCCCUCUGUAGUUCAAGCAGGGAAUUCUAUAUACCUCCAGGAGCUGGUUCGUCCUGAAAAAAACCCAAGAGGGCGAGUCGUUUAGCCAAGUUCUUCUUUUCAUUCUUCAUCUCUUUGGUGUGAGGAAAUGUCUACUUCCAAUUUAAGUGUCCAUUCAGCUGCAGAUCAACUGAGCAUGAAGGACAGCAAAAGAGGAGACAGUGAAUUAAAUGACAGUCAUUCUGUUAUCAGUGGAGAAAGGCUAAAGAAGCCACCUUCAGAGAUGAUGGAAAAUCAGGUUGGAAAGUAUAAAAUUUAACAUCUCAGUUUUGGAGUGCAAGACAUAAAUGGAGGCAAUGAACUGAAACAAACCUUAUAAUUCUCCUUUACAAAGGCCCUGGAUGAGGAAAGGCAGGAAUAGAUUGAAAAGUAGAGAUGUCUGACCCCCUAGUCAUCAUCGUCCCUGACUCACCAGUAAAACAUCUCAGUGAUGUUACACAGACAUGAGGUAAUCACAGGGUGGCAUGAUAAACACCUUCGAACCCCAAAGUUACUGGCUUCUGAGUGCUUCUUUUUUGGGUGCUCAGUUUGGCACACCUCAGAGAGGCUUGAGAGUGAGCAAGUGCUGAGCAUUGCUUCAUAAGGCUUCUUGAAGCUGAGUAGCAGAAUACUCCUAAGGUGUUUGGUCCAUGUCUGUCCAUGUGUGUUGCGAAGUGCAUGUCAUAUGUAUGGGCACUAUUUGCCUAAAAUGAAAGAAAAAUUGUCUGGAGAGUUUGUUAAAGUAAGGUAGAGAGCAGGUCUUUAUUAAGGCCUUAAGGUGCAUAAAAUACAUUCAACACACACAUGCAGAAUAACUGUUACAAUUUUAUAAUACUGGCUAGUUAUCCUAUCUAACCAUUACAUCCUGGCCCAAAAACUGUACAUCCCCCCACCCGCCCUCAGGCCCUCCCCUAGGCACGCCUCCCCAAGUUGGAUUGGUGGUCCCAAGAAAACAAUAGUUGGUCCCUCCUUCAUCUUCAUCAUCCCUCUCUGUCCUGCUUGGCCCUCUUUCAAGGAUCCUGGGUGUUCUCUAAUAGUUUAGUCUAAAGUUUGAUAAGGGGUGAUCAAAAUCUAGAAUGGUGAUAAAAGAUUGUGGCCUUAGAUACUUCCUAGAGUUAAUUUUAGGUGGUGGCGUGGGCCCGGGCCGGCCCUGGGCGUGUGUGCGGCGGCCCGGCCCUGGGCGCUGGGGCCUGGCCCUGGGCGCGGAAAGGAGCGAGAGAAUGGGAGCUUCACCUGUGCGGACAGUGCCAUCGUGGGAGAUGAGAGGGGAGCCCUGGAACACACAGAAGAGAAGGACAACUCUAAACCCGGGCAGAUGGAGCUCGUUCAGCCCUGUAAGGCCAUCCAUCUAAGAGAAGGUCACUCUAAACAAACCCACGUCCUGAGGACCUUGCUGCCACCAUCCAAGCUCGCUCGGCCCCGGCAGAUGAACCUCAGGAUUAAAGGGUGGGCUCAGUUCAGCGCACACUGUGUCUCACCUAAAAAAUCCAUUGCGCAGGCUCGAAAGCCUUACCCGCAUUUGCAAAGCCCUGUAUCACCAGCGCGCUUGUAACAAACAUGGGCAGAGACCUUUCCCAAAUCUUCAUUCGUGAAGACUGGCCAUGACUGACUGACUGACUGAUAAAUAAAUGAAUGAGAUAUAUGAACAAUUGAACUGCUGAGUGUUGAAGCACAUGUAUUUCAUAGGUAUAUGCUUAUUACAGCUCACUUCAUGCAGGUGCUUCUAGGAUCCUAGCAUAAUACCUGGUGACCUAGCAUAAUUUUAGGAUAUCUUAUUGCCUGGAAAAUUAGCCCAAAGAAAUGUAGAUAUACUUAUUUGUAACUAUAAUAAAUAGAUUUUGAUAGAGUAAAAACACCUAAGAUUUUCCUAUUGUGUGAUGUUGCUGUCCCAAGCAUAAGGUUGCUACAUUCAGCCAUUGCUGAUAUAUGAGAAUAUAUUGUUUAUGAUUUAGUAAAACAUAUUAGAUGAUUGAAUUCUAGAAAAAUACCUCAUAUUAAUUUAAAGGACUUCAAAAUAUUGCUUCCUUUCCAGAUACUGUAUCCUCUGCAAAGGAAAACACAUACAAGUACGCAAAGAGCUGUAACAGUUCUUAUGCCUUACAGCUGAACACAAGGAAAACACUUUCUCUACAUUAUGAAAUUGAUCAUACAAUCACAUAUUCUACAAUACCAAUUUAUUAGCCCAUACCUCCAGUUUGGAAAGUCUCAUUUUCAUUCCCAGCAGCCAAAGCAGAAAGAAUGUAAUUAUCAAGCAAAUAUUCCUAAACCCCAAAGACUGCAGAGUAUAUUUAAAAGAUUUCUAAAUGACAGGUAGACCAGCUCAGUUACUGUCCCGUCAAGACAGCAGAGAGGAUUAAAUCACCCUUCACAGAACACUUUACCCCUAAGUGCCUCUGAUAUAGGAAUAUCAUUCUGAAAGAGCAAUGGAAAGAUAUCACAAAGUAUCGUAAAAUUGUACUGGGUACUUUUGUCUGUGUUUAUGAGAAAGUGUUGCCAACUGAGUUGUGUAAAUAAAAUUCCAGCAAGAUAAAAUGUUACUUUAAAUUAUGGCAAAAUCAAUCAGUGUCUAGACAAAUCGUCUUUUUAAAAUCAUCUUCUGUAUUUUAUCAAUGAACCUGAAAACCAUGUGAAAGUAUGCAAUUACUGCUGCUAGGAAUUAGAAAGUAAAUUAAACCAAGCCAUGACUUCAUUCUGAAAUUAUUAUGUAAGUAAAUAAAAAGAUCUAAGUGUACAUCUACAGUCAAA